rnacentral:piRNA from 1 species
UGGAGCUCAGAGAAGGCCUCUACCUGA